rnacentral:snRNA from 1 species
UCGUGCCCGGACCCUGUCGCA